AUUGCUCCCUGGACUCGGCCACAAAGCUCUCAGGACCACAGAGGGGCCGAGGAGAAAAGAGCCCACCGCUUGGCUGUUGGCAAGAACACGACUGCCCCUUGUGGGAGCGCAGGCUUCCUGGACCCCGGCCCCAGAUGGUGCUGCAGGGAGGACGGAGGGGAGGGCAGGCCCGGGCUUUGGGGGCCUGCCCGGCAGUGACAGGGCAUCGGGCAGCCCCCCGCCCCCACCCCACCCCCACCUCACCCACCCCCCAGCCCUGGGCCCUGAGCAAGCACCCUGCCCUCGCGCCGGAGCUUCCCGCUGCUCCCGGGUGGGGUGUGGGGCAGAGCAGCCCUCCCACCCCCACCCCCGAUGACGUCUCGCAAGUGCGUGGGGCCUGGUACUUUUCCAAGGGCUUUUAAACGCAUUAUCUUGUUGGAGGCUCAUUUGAGGCAAGGACUUGAAGCCGGCUGGAAAACAACUAAUUUACUGAAUCCUGAGUGGAGAGGAGGCAGAAGGCAGCGUGUGUUUUUGCUGAAGCUCUAACCAAAACAACCUUUUGUUAAAGAACAAACAACCCACUCGCACAGGCCGCGGGAUGUGGACAGGCUGGCCUUCUUCCGCAAUGCCACUGGGGCCGAGGGCCCGGCAGCAGAGUGGUAGGUGGUCCAGGAGUGGCGGCCAGACUGUGACCAAAGCCGGGGCUGUGGCCGAAACCUGGAGCUGGUCAUCUUUAACGACAAAGUCAGCCCCCAGAGCCUGGGCUUCCUGGCCGGAUACAGGUAUGACCAGCUGCCCCACGUGGACCACGUGCUCGGGCUCUGCACCCACGUCUUCCUGGCCCACCACGAGCUGGGCGAGCUGCAGCUGGAGCAGGACCUGUUCGCCACACUCAUCUUCCUGUGCCGCUCGCCAGACCCCAUGGUCAGGUGGACCCACCCGUGCCCGCCCGGCCCCCGCCGGCCACCCGCCGGCCACCCGCCGACCAUGCUGCCGGGGCUCCAGCAGGGCCACGGGAAGCAGCUGUCUCGUCCUAAAGCCUCUGGCCUCGAAGCAAGGUGUCCUCUCACCCCCGGGCCCCCGGUGCCAGGCCGUCAGCCUGCAGCUGCUCCCCAGCUGGGCCCCUGGGCCUGAGGCUGCCUUUGUGCCCGGACAAGGGAGACUCAGUUCAUCUCCUGCUCCUUGACCCUGCGUCCUGCAGCCCCUGGCGGGGGAGGUGGACAGUGCCAGCUGCUGGGAGAAGGAGCUGGACCAACUCGGUGGCCUCUGGCUCCUCCGGGGCUUCUCAGGGGGAAGCUGGAGUGAGCUGCCUGUUGCAAGACCAUUAAGCAAGCUAAUGACCUGUGAAGGCUCCUGGCCCUCCGGCCCCAGCUCAGCGCGCGGGGGCCCACCGGCCGCCUUGUGACCACUGUUAUUGUAACUUAACAUGUUGGGCCACGGUUUUCCCAGACAGGCCGGGGCCUUGGAGCCGCUGCUUGCCUUUGGGGGGCCCAGCCGGGGCUGUGCACGCAGCAGACAGUUAAUAAAUAUAUGCUUGGGAUCA
rnacentral:lncRNA from 1 species